AGAGUUUGAUCAUGGCUCAGGAUGAACGCUAGCUACAGGCUUAACACAUGCAAGUCGAGGGGCAGCAUGUUGGUUGCUUGCAACCAAUGAUGGCGACCGGCGCACGGGUGAGUAACGCGUAUCCAACCUACCCUUGUCCAUCGGAUAACCCGUCGAAAGGCGGCCUAACACGAUAUGCGGUUCACAGCAGGCAUCUAAGGUGAACGAAAUGUGAAGGAGAAGGAUGGGGAUGCGUCUGAUUAGCUUGUUGGCGGGGUAACGGCCACCAAGGCUACGAUCAGUAGGGGGUUCUGAGAGGGAAGGUCCCCCANAUUGGAACUGAGACACGGUCCAAACUCCUACGGGAGGCA
rnacentral:rRNA from 1 species